CCAGAGCAGUAUGGGUUGCUGAGCAGUAUAAAAGCAAUCAGAAGACCCCCAUUUCAUGUGUUCUUAGUGUUGGGCAUCCUACCUCAGCUCCUGCCUGAUCACGUAUGUUUCUGUGAGUCACAACGGCAACUGGAACCGAAUAAGGAGGUGUUUUACUUGUUCUCUCAGAACAGUACUUGGCCCUCAACUCCCCACCCCACCUGCUCAUGAAAGAGGAGUUCAAGCUUACCAUCUGGACAAGUCAGCUUUAUGAAUGAAGCGGCUACGCGCCCUGAGAUAUGGAAUUGAAUGGUUCUGACUUGUCACAAACAACAGGAUUUCCUGCAAAAUGAAUGUCUAAACUUGGAGCUACUCUGCUGAACCUGGAACAGAAGGAUAGGAAUCCCCAAACUGCAUUUGCUAAAAAAAGGCUGAAAAGACUCCAUGGUAGCACUAACAUGAAGAAUGGGAAUAUUUCCUUGAAAAGGGCAUUACAACCAGCACAGCUCACCAACAAUGAUUUUUCAUUGAUAAACUCUGCUCACCAGUGGGUUAAACCUCAGACAACUGAAGCUCAACAUUUCAAUCUUCAUCUAUCAAUAGGCUGAGACCAAGAAUGCCCCAUCUGUACGUCUGUUUGGAAGAUGGCAGACAACAUUAAUCAAAGUAGCUGCUGAUCAGCAUGUAAUAAACGGUUACAGCAUUUUUUAAAUUAAAACAGCAAAUAUGAGUGUUCCUACUCUGACUGGAGUGACUGAAAAAUAUAAUAUGGAUUAAACAAAUGGAAAAAAACUUGUCACACAAACUGCACAAUAGAAGAAAGAACCUUUAUGUACAAAACAAAAUCAUGUCAGUAUACAAUAGCUAAGAGGAUAUAUUGCUGUGGAACAAAUUAUAGAACAAUACUAACUACUUGGAAGAAUGCAUAGACAAGAAUAUUUCAUAGCAGGUUCAAAUAUGUUAAAAUGUUUUCGGUUCUAUGGCAUAGCUGUACUUCACUAAAACUGAAAAUGUCUCUAAAAUCAAGGAAAUAUCUGGAACUAGUAACUUUUGUCUGCAAAGGAAGUUUGUAAUUUCAUAUUUCUGUUUCUGCCAAAUUGUACAUAUUGCUUUCAUAAGCAAAUGUAAGGUAUAAGUGUAACAGAUACUUUGAUAUACUGGCAGUAUGUAAGUAAAUCUGCGUUAAUGAAAGAUACAGUUUUACACUGUUUGACAAGAGACUGUGCAUGAUCUCACAACAGUCAGAUACUGUCCAGAGAAGACUGAUAGCUGACUAGCAUCGUAAACAACAGUCUCACACUGAUGUAUGUUUAUAAUAGCAAAGGAUGCAAUGAUGUAUCGUUCUAAUAAUGACAGAUGUAUGGUUAUAAAUUAAAAGAGAAGGCUGUAAUACUGUGCUCUUUCCCAAUAUGCAUCGCUGUGAAGUCUAUAAUGCACUGAAAGUGGGCACACAUGGAACAGUCGUGGCUCCAUAUACUGCAUAUAACGUCAAAUAAAAGACAUAUUGGUAGCAAAAGCACAUCUUCCACCCAGGACUUCAAGCAGAAAGUAUAAUGGAUAGAAAAACAGUUGUAGUGUUGGAACACGAGAAUACCUUACAGUGUCUUAGUUAUAUAACUAAUGGACUAUAAGGGAAAACACUGGAUCUUGUCAAAGUGAUAGUCCAGAAUAGUAGUGACAUGGUUAUACAACCAGAUGGAGUUGUCUGUUGCUCGGUAACCACCUUGGUAUUUUUUUUUGUGCAGUUACAUGAGCUGACAUAGUUGACUAUUACUCAGUAGCAGACAUUUUGUUUUCAUUUUGUUUUUCUUUUCAUCGUGGUCCAGUUUUAAUUUAAGAUACAUAAAUAGAUAGACAUACACAAAUAGAUGGAUGGUUAAAUGGACCAACAGACAGACACUGUCUACUAAAAUAAUUAAAUAAGAGGUUAUAAUGGAAUAGUUAUCGAGUCAGCAAAUAAACAUAAUGUUUUAGCUGUUAUAUGAUCUUUGAUUUGAUACAAUGCAUGAAUGUCAGCAGGGAUGUUUAAAAAAAUGAUGCAACAGCCAAAUGUUUUGCCCCCAAAUAAAAACAGUUUUGUUUUAUUUUACUUAGGCCAAAACUUUUUUAACAAAAAUUUCACCAAUCCUUGUAAAUUAAACUUCUAAAAAAACUAAUGGAAAAAACACAGCAAAACUUUCUUUGAUUUCCUGGAGUUGCCAUCCCUUCAGUAAUACCUGUACGAGUGUUAGCAGAUAUCAACCAAAGGUAAUCAGAUGAGCUUUAUGAGUUUUUAAUUUAGAUUUAUAAUUACCUAGGAAAAAAUUGUGAGUAGCUAUUCUGAAAGUGGGAGGGGGCAUGGAUGCAUAGAGAGAAUUUAUUUACCUUUUGCAGAUCAUGAUACUGAUGCUUGUCCUUCAGUAGAAAUUAGCAGAAAAGACAAUUAUACAUGUUUGAAGACGAAUACAUAGGGUGCAGUUCAAUUCCAUUGUGGUAUGUUUCACGUGCCUUCACCACCUACAAAGUAGCAUGUUUAUUAGCUACCUGUACAACCUGUGUAACCAAAGUGUGACAGUCCUGACAGUUUGUGUAAGUUGGGAUACUGAUUUUGUGUCUUCAUUCACAGCUGAGUAACUGUUUUUUCCAUUCCAAGAUGAGCAUCUUGCAGCAUUGCUAUUCAUGCAUGGGCACAGUUGAAGUGGACUCUAUGAUCUUUUAGUGAUGUGGGAUAACAGGGCAUGUCUGUGUCCCAUCUGUGAACUGUGUUCUGUCAUCCACUGCAGGUUUCCAUUUGGACCUGUCUAAAUAUUUUAACUCUGUCCUGAUGUUAUGUGCUUUAAACAGGAUGCUCACAUAUCUACUUAAAAUGAAUGGGAUUGCAAAGCUACCAAGUAUGUAAAAGAUUUGCUUGUAUUUUGCAAAAGGAUAAAUAAACAGGAACUGAAAACAUACAUCACCAAGAAAAAAUGAAGACAGCUUCAUGUUUUUGAAAAGCAUGAUCACUCAUGCCAGACACACUUUGCACCAGUGCAACCCCUUAUUUAGUUAUUCAUUUGUCUUAAAAAUCUGUUAUCUCAUAAUUGUUAUCGCCAUGGACAUAUCCACUGCAGGUACUUGGAAUUGAUUUAUUUUAGUUUAGUGCCAUAAAUACAUUUUCUAACUAGAGAUCGACAAUUAAUGAUACAAGUGCUUUACUCUGUACUUUAAAUACAUCUCAUUUUCUUUCCUCUGAAGUCCUCUAGCUAGUUUCCUUCCACCACUGUUGCAUCUGAAUUCAUUCAUAAACCCAGUUGUCAUUUUACCAGACCACUGAUAACUUUACAUAAUGGUAAUUUCUAUCAAACAAAAAAAUCAACCAUUCUUCUCUCCAUUUCAUGACUUUACAUCCAUGGACAAUAACUACACAGAAAAUGUGCUUUUAAGAGUUCCAUGAUGAACACUCUCUCCCUUAACAGCUUCUUUUCUCCUUAUCUCAUACCCAUUUCUAAGGGAACAUACAAUGCACUUCUCAUCUAUUCUGUAUUACAGACCACAAGGUCUGUGACCAUACCCAGCACCUCCAUCAAUGGGAACAUCCAGUCUUGAGGUGUCCUGCUCUAUCUACACUCAGGAGUGUCGUCAAAGCAUGGCCAAUUAUGUGACUUCUGGUGAAAAGGUACUGACGUUUACCACUCAAAAAGACUAAUAAUUACUAUGAUUUGCUAGUGAUGAGAGCUGUAUCCUGAUCCAUUAUUUUCCUUGUUAAAAUAGACAUCCUUAAUCUUCUAUCAAAGUGAAAAUCUCAUGAACCAAGAAGGCAGACUAUGUAUUUUAGUUUGCAGUAGGUCAAUAUAUGUCAGACAGCAACUUGUUAUUUAAAUACAUUACUGUGGCCAUUAGGAAAUAAUGUUAGGUUAAAGCAAAGAUAUCAACUAUUGAUUGCAGGCAUUAUUCCAUUUUUGCAUCUAUGUUCAUGUUAUACUAAAAGCAGUAAGAUGAAGGAUAAUAAGGUUUUCAAUGUAGCAAACUCCUGAGUCAUGUACAUUUUGUUAUUUGUAUUUAAUUUUAUUUUGUAUUUGUUAACUGAGUAACCACAUUGGUCCAUGGUCCAUUUUCAAGCAUGACUAAUGUUCAUUUGGGAAAAAUCAAUAAGAUUAAAUAAGCAAGUACAAUAUGCAAUAGAAUGGAAAAAUGAGGAAUAAAUUAUUUAAGUACAAGAGAGAAAAACAGGAAGCAGAUUUCCAUGGAAACAAGUUUAGCAAAUAUGAAGGAUUUGUUAGGCUACAUAAGUGAAGCAAACCAUUCCAUGAAAUGAUUUUUGUGGGCACUGACUUGAGUUCUAAUCUAAUAAAAGAAAUUUAAUUAAGCAAAUGCAUUGCAUUUCAGAUCUGUUAUACUUGUCUGCUUUAUUAAUGUCUGCCUUAUUCACAGGAUUCUGCAAAGAAGUAAAAACAAUGUUCUUUAUAACCAGUAAUAUUGUUGAUUC